UGGGGAAUAUUGGACAAUGGGCGCAAGCCUGAUCCAGCCAUGCCGCGUGGGUGAGGAAGGCCUUCGGGUUGUAAAACCCUUUCACCGGUGACGAUGAUGACGGUAGCCGGAGAAGAAGCCCCGGCUAACUCCGUGCCAGCAGCCGCGGUAAGACGGAGGAUGCAAGCGUUAUCCGGAAUUAUUGGGCGUAAAGCGUCCGUAGGCGGUUUGGUAAGUCUGCUGUCAAAGACCACAGCUCAACUGUGGGUCGGCAGUGGAAACUGCGAGACUAGAGUGUGGUAGGGGUAGAGGGAAUUCCUAGUGUAGCGGUGAAAUGCGUAGAUAUUAGGAAGAACACCAGUGGCGAAGGCGCUCUACUGGGCCAUAACUGACGCUGAUGGACGAAAGCUAGGGGAGCGAAAGGGAUUAGAUACCCGCGUAGUCC
rnacentral:rRNA from 1 species